UACGUAGGGUCCGAGCGUUUGUCCGGAAUUAUUGGGCGUAAAGAGCUCGUAGGCGGUUUGUCGCGUCUGCUGUGAAAUCCCGAGGCUCAACCUCGGGCCUGCAGUGGGUACGGGCAGACUGGAGUGCGGUAGGGGAGAUUGGAAUUCCUGGUGUAGCGGUGGAAUGCGCAGAUAUCAGGAGGAACACCGAUGGCGAAGGCAGAUCUCUGGGCCGUAACUGACGCUGAGGAGCGAAAGCAUGGGGAGCGAACAGG
rnacentral:rRNA from 1 species